UACGUAGGGUGCAAGCGUUGUCCGGAAUUAUUGGGCGUAAAGAGCUCGUAGGCGGUCUGUUGCGUCGGCUGUGAAAACCCGGGGCUCAACUCCGGGCCUGCAGCCGAUACGGGCAGACUAGAGUUCGGCAGGGGAGACUGGAAUUCCUGGUGUAGCGGUGAAAUGCGCAGAUAUCAGGAGGAACACCGGUGGCGAAGGCGGUUCUCUGGGAAUAUCCUGACGCUGAGGAGCGAAAGUGUGGGGAGCGAACAGG
rnacentral:rRNA from 1 species